GCGGCUCUUGUCAGUGGAGUUUCAUAAACAGGGAGGAUGGCAGCCCUGUGGAGAUCGUAUCAGGCCCUGAUGAACAAAUAUCCCUGGACCAUCCAGAUAAUAACCGCUGGCUCGUUAGUGGGCGUGGGUGAUGUCAUCUCCCAGCAGGUGAUCGAGAGGAGAGGAUUGGCUCAUCACAACGUGCAGCGGACGGCGAAGAUGAUGAGCAUCGGCUUCUUCUUCGUGGGUCCGGUGGUGGGCAGCUGGUACAAGGUGUUGGACAGACUGGUGGUCGGAGGAACUAAAAGUGCUGCUAUGAAGAAAAUGCUGGUUGAUCAGGUGUGUUUCGCUCCGUGCUUCCUCGGAGCGUUCCUCUGUAUUUCGGGAGCGUUGAACGGUCUGACGGUGGAGGAGAACGUCACCAAGCUCCAGAGAGACUACACAGACGCUCUCAUCUCUAAUUAUUAUCUUUGGCCGCCGGUUCAGAUCGCCAACUUCUACUUUAUCCCUCUACAGCACCGGUUGGCCGUGGUUCAGAUCGUAGCUGUAGCCUGGAACUCAUAUCUGACCUGGAAAGCCAACAAGAUGUGAAGAAGGAAGGAGCUCAGAGCCUGUGAUGAUGAUGAUGAUGAUGAUGAUGAUGAUGGUGAUGAUGAUGAUGAUGAUGAUGAUGUCACACUCAGCUGUAGUGUUGUUGUUAACGGGCCCGCUCUGUGAGUCAUGAGUCUGAAAGGACUGCGUGGACCUUUUGAGAAAAGAGCAAAACAGCAAAAAAAAAAGAGAAUGAAUAUCGUGAGAUCAGUGUCAUCAUCCCACGUCUAACACAAUUAAAACAAUCGAGCCCCCGUUGACUCUCCCCAGCUGCUCGGUGCCUUGAUGUCCUCGCAGCACGGAGGAGGAAGAGGAGGAGGAAGAGGAGGAGGAGGAGGAUGCUGCUGCCUUUUGACUGAGUCAGCAUGAAUACACAGCGAUGCUCUGGAUGGAUGGAUGGAGGGGAAUCCUUCGCUACCU